GAAGCACUAGUUAUGGAGCAGCUGCGUACAGUUAAAAAGGGCGAAACAAUACCUAUGGAUCAAAAUUUGGAUGUUCCUGAUGAUGGAGUGCUUGUACAUGGACUCUAUAUGGAUGGUUUUGCCUGGGACUGGGAUCACAUGACUGUUGGUGACCAAUUGAAAGGCCAGAUGCAGGCAAAGACAUUCUACUAACUUUGUUGUAACUGUCCACCUUCCUUCAAGCAACACACAAGAUUACUGGAUAGCCAAAGGUGCAGCACUCUUAUGUCAAAUUUCUGAUUAAUUUUGCUUAGAGAUAAGUUGUAAAGCAUUGAACAAUAAAAACAAUG